UACAGAGGGUGCAAGCGUUGUUCGGAAUUAUUGGGCGUAAAGCGUGCGUAGUCGGCUUUUCAAGUCGGGUGUGAAAGCCCCGGGCUCAACCUGGGAAUUGCAUUCGAUACUGGAUGGCUAGAGUUCGGCAGAGGGAAGCGGAAUUUCGGGUGUAGCGGUGAAAUGCGUAGAUAUCCGAAGGAACAUCAGUGGCGAAAGCGGCUUCCUGGACCAGAACUGACGAUCAGGCACGAAAGCGUGGGGAGCAAACAGG
rnacentral:rRNA from 1 species